AUCCUAAAUAUAUCCAGUUCAUAAGAAAUCAUUACAAUCAGAAUCUAAGUAAACAACAUAAACUUAAUACGUGCAAACCAAAUUUCGUUCAUAAGUUCAAGCAAGUGAAAAUAGGGGAAUGUUUACAUACUUAAUGAGUAGAAAAACAAGCACUUAAUAACCAAAUAAAGUCUGACCAAGAAGAAUGCAGAAACUCAGCUACGACUUGAACAUCAAACAAUGCAGGAGACUAGCAAAUAGCCUCUACAAAGUUGUAACGCAGUAGCAACAAACAACCCCUUUAAAACUCAAUUUAACCUUGAAAGCCAACUCAACCAUUUCGACAUUUCCAGCACGUUCGAAAAGACCAGCAAGAGCAGCACUGUCAACACUGAAAGGCAAAUUACCAACAAAGGGUUUAAGGUCUUCAGAAAAACGGAGUUGUUCUGCUACUUUAACAUCGUUUUCCAAUUGGUCGAAGUCAGAGAGGGCUAGGGUUUGUAAGGUGACGGCUAGGGUUCUUCUACUGGGAGAUCUCCGUUGUUUUUGAGAGGAAGGGCGGAAAUAUGGGGCGCUAGGUUUUUUCUAUAGGGGAAUGGGGGCUUGUCCGUUCUCUGAAGAAAUAGAUGGCAAGGCUGCACUUUUUGUGUAUGGAAUAAUGGGGGUUUUUGGUGAAUGGGCUUGGGCUGGCGGAUGAUUUUUGGGGCGAGAAUUAGGUCGAUACAAAUGCAUGGCCGAGUUGUAAUGAAGAAGAAACAUCACCCUUUCCUUCUUUCUUUGUAUUUCAAAAUUAAACCAUUAAUUAAAACACCCAAUUUCAAAUUGAUUUGGCAAAAAAUGACCUAUUUAACUAAUUGAAUCUAAAAAUGCAAAAACAAAGCAAGAGUGAUUGAAAUGUAUUUUUUUUUAUUUAUUUCAUGUAUUAAUUAUGCACUUAAUGUGUAUCUAGGUCCUAAAAAUACAAUUUAAAAUCUAAAAUGCUAUGAAAUUAAGAUUUAAACUUUUUAAAUAAUUUUUUAUGAUUUACGAUAUUCCUAACAUGUAUAAACAAUGCGAACAAAUACAAAACAAAUAAAGAAAAACUCCUAAAAUUUAUAAAAACAAUAAAAAUUAUUUUUGGAUUAUUAUUUAGGAGUAAUUUCCUAUGUGGGACAAACAUUAGGUGCUCACAGCUGCCCCUCUUUGCUCGGAAACACGAAAAGUUUUCGAGCAAAGAUAAAGUGAGCAAUUACGAGCAAUUUUUCCCCAUUUGACACUCCAUUCAGAAGAGUUUUGAAAACGGUUUGACUGAACCUUGCUUCGAAGGUUGCCUACAUAUCCUUGGCUAUAAAGGAAUCAGGUCAGUGUAGUUUUGAAAAGUUUGGUAGCUAGGACUACCGAGAAGCUGUGAUUUCACUGUUGUUACUGCUUGAUGAGCUUCUUAUUACACCAAAGUCAAAAGAAACUAAAAAAGCCUAUCAACUAUGAGUUACAGGGUUCCUAUCUAUAAGUCUUUUAAAGCUUGAUCUUGAGUAUUGGUUGGUUCUUCAUGCGACUCUGAUCUGAACCUUGAUGCUUGCUAGCUGCAGGUGCUAGUUCAUUCUUCUUCAGCUUUUCGGAUUAAUACGGGACACGCAGAACUGGUGACUUCAGUAAUGUCUUGAGCAAUCCACAUCUUGUCUCCGCUUCUGUAUUUUGGAUUCACUUCUUUUUCUUUUCUUUUAUUUAUUUUGGAUUGAGACUUCUUUUGGUCAUCUCGAACCCUGUCGACUCGCAUUCUUGAGGCGAGCUUCUGCUACUUCUAACUUGAAUUGACUUUAUUCUUUAGGCGGGCUCCUGCUACUGAGUUGAAAUUUGAAGUGAAUUCCGAAAUGACUUCCCUCGUUCUCCAGGUGGGCGCCUGCUACUGACUUGAAAUUUGAAGUAACUCUGAAAUGAAUUCUCUCGUUCUCCAGGUGGGCGCCUGCUACUACAGUAAAACAAACAAAACAAAAGAAACUUUUCUGCCCCAGUUUGCACUAGGAAGAUUUAUGAGUUGUUAGCAGAACUAUAAAUCACCUAUGUUAUUGAUGAAGGAUUCAAUGAUGAGAGUAAAAUUAAAGACUCGACUAGGAUGUCCGUCUCCUAUGAGUAAAACCAAGAAAAUUUUGACUAACAAAUGCGUCUGCUAAAAAAAUCCUGAAUGACCCAAAUGAGGAAGUGCAUCUCCAGGGAUGAACUCGAACGACCCAAACUAGGAAGUGCGUCUCCUAGGGGUGAAAUCUCAAUUUGGGAAGUGUGUCUCCUAAAAGUAUAACCUGAAAGACCCAGACUAGGAAGUGCGUCUCCUAGAGGUAAAACUUGAAUGACUCAAACUAGGAAGUGCGUCUCCUAGGGAUAAAACUUGAAUGACUCAAACUAGGAAGUGUGUCUCCUAGGGAUGAACUUAAACGACCAAAACUAGGAAGUGCGUCUCCUGAAAAGUAUAAUCUAAAAGACCCAGACUAGGAAGUGCGUCUGCUAGUGAUAAAACUUGAAUGACUCAAACUAGGAAGUCUGACUCCUAGGGAUGAAACUUGUAACCUAAGAUUAGGAAGUGUGUUUCCUUAAAAGUUUGACCUGAAAGACUCAGACUAGGAAUUGUGUCUCCUAGGGAUAAAACUUGAAUGACUCAAACUAGGUAGUGCAUCUCCUAAGGAUGAACUUAAACGACCAAAACUAGGAAGUGCGUCUCUUGAAAAGUAUAAUCUGAGAGACCCAGANNNNNNNNNNNNNNNNNNNNNNNAAGUACGUCUCCUAGUGAUAAAACUUGAAUGACUCAAACUAGGAUGUGUGUCUCCUAGGGAUGAAACUUGUAACCUAAGAUUAAGAAGUGUGUUUCCUAAAAAGUAUGACCUGAAAGGCUCAGACUAGGAAAUGUGUCUCCUAGGAAUAAAACUUGAAUGACUCAAACAAGGAAGUGCGUCUCCUAGGGAUGAACUUAAACGACCAAAACUAGGAAGUGCGCCUCCUAAAAAGUAUAAUCUGAAAUACCCAGACUAGGAAAUGUGUCUUCUAGUGAUAAAACUUGAAUGACUCAAACUAGGAAGUGCAUCUCCUAGGGAUGAAACUUGUAACCUAAGAUUAGGAAGUGUGUUUCCUAAAAAGUAUGAACUGAAAGACUUAGACUAGGAAGAGCGUCUCCUAGGGAUAAAACUUGAAUGACUCAAACUAGGAAGUGCAUCUCCUAGGGAUGAAACUUGUAACCUAAGAUUAGGAAGUGUGUUUCCUAAAAAGUAUGAACUAAAAGACUUAGACUAGGAAGAGCGUCUCUUAGGGAUAAAACUUGAAUGAUUCAAACUAGGAAGUGCGUCUCCUAGGGAUGAACUUAAACGACCAAAACUAAGAAGUGUGUCUUGUGAAAAGUAUAAUCUGAAAGACCCAGACUAGGAAGUACGUCUCCUAGUGAUAAAACUUUAAUGACUCAAACUAGGAAGUGCGUCUCCUAGGGAUGAAACUUGUAACCUAAGAUUAGGAAGUGGGUUUCCUAAAAUGUAUGACCUGAAAGACUCAGACUAGGAAGUGCAUCUCCUAGGGAUAAAACUUGAAUGACUCAAACUAGGAAGUGCAUCUCCUAGGGAUGAACUUAAGCGACCAAAAUUAUGAAAUGUAUCUCCUAAAAAGUAUAAUUUGAAAGACCCAAACUAGGAAGUGCGUCUCCUAGUGAUAAAACUUGAAUGACUCAAACUAGAAAGUGUGUCUCCUGGAUGUGGGAUUGGGCUUGAGGAAAACUAUAAACUAAGCUUGACUAAAAUAAAAACUAACCCUAUUCUCCAGGCGGGACCCCUUGACUCGAGGAAAAACUAACGAUUACCAACCUAACGAAAUUGAAAGUAGACCCUAUUCUUCAGGCGGGACCCCUAAACUUUAAGAAAACUAAAAAUUACUAAAAAUGACCCUAUUCUACAGGCGGGACCCCUGAACUUAAGGAACGCUAAAGACUAACAACUUAAGAAAAUUAAAACUAACCUUAUUCUCCAAGAAGGACUCCAAAACUUAAGAAAAGCCAAAGAUUCCUCUCAACUAGGGAUAUGCCUAGGAGGUAUGGUGCUUUCAACUAGGGAACAUGCCUAGGAGGUAUGAUCUUCUCAAUAGCCUUUGUGUUAGCAGAACUGGGGAAUUACAACUGAAACAUUCAAUCUUCCAAGAUUUGAUAUGAACAUAGCCUUCAUCCCUGUUUUAGACAAAGAAAACCUGUGAGUUUUAAACAUGGUGGUUAGUUUGUGGCUUUGACUUCGAGGGAGAUUUCUCUUGCACUUGUCAUGAUCAACUUGGACUUCAACUUGGAAGACAACGCUUGUUAUCAGCCAACCACUUCUCGGGACAACCCUUAUCACAAGAAAUAGUCCUGAUUCGUUCAAGUCUAAUACCUUAUACCCGAUGCAUUGCACUCAUAUUCUAACAUUCACCAAAUCCUUACAUUUUACAUCAAUACCAAAGAACAUCUAUUAUCGCCAACUCAGUGCACACACAAUUCUCCCAUGUCUUAUACCAUUUUGAUGUGCUUGCCAGACUCUGCUUUGUGUGAUUAAAAAGCCGGUAGCAGAUUUUGAAGUUAUUUCUCAGUUGUUUCGACAAAAAUAGACUCAAGAGGGACUUAAACAAAACAAGAGGAACAAAGUAAGGAGAAUAACGAAAAGAGAUGGUAUCUAAGAAGAAAAAAUUUUACCCAGGAAAAAGAACAAAGUAGAAACUAAUCUGAUUUGAAAGCCAGCUCCACUGAUCAUGACAUGCAUUUUGGAUUAAGCGGCAUGAUCUGUCAAGCGAGUCUAAUCUUCAACUCUUGUUAUACAACCUGAUAUGUCAAACGAGUCUAAUCUUCAACUCUUUUUAUACCUCUAAGCUGUGAGAUUGGGCUUUAGUGCUCCAAUUGUCCUAUAUGAUUCACGACCCUCAGCCGACUUGUAGUGCCCUGAAGGGUUUUCACCAUCAAGCAUCUCUCAUUUUUUUCUUUUUCUCAACUCAUUGUCGCCUUAUAGUGCCCAUGAGGGUUUUCACCGAUAAGACUCUCUCAUUUUAUUGUUUUCUCUCUUUGUGCUGAGAACACGGUAUUACCCAUGAUACAAGAAGAUCAUACUUUUACCACACACUUGAUUUGGUAUCCUUAAAGAUUGGUCGCAAGGUCUUUCUUUGGACCGUAAUGCAGGCUUUGGAUAGGGUUAAAAAUAAAGGAUGAUAUAAAGGCUCAAAAUAACUAAAAUGAAAGGGGUUUUAACUUACAACUUUUGAAAUCAGAUCUAUUUACAAAACUAAAACCUCUGCCCCAGUUUAUUUGAGUCUGGGAAAUUUUGAAUUUUUAUUUUGAUGGGACCGAACCUCAGAGUAAGGCUGUCUACGUAUCCUUAAAAGGAAUCAGGUUGAACGUAGUUACAAACUAAGAGUUGUUUUGUUUUUGUUGCUUAUUUUAUUUUUAUUUUUUAUUUUUUUUUCUAUUUUUCUCUUCUUCUUUUUUUUUCUUCUUUUCUUUUUCUUUUCUAUUUUCUAACUCUACUUCUGAUUCCAAAAAAGGGUAUGAAAGAAAAUUAAUAAGGCACAAAAGGGGUAGCAAAGGAUAAAAGUGUUUGGCGUAGCAUAAUAAAAUGCCUUCAUCAUUCCAAACUUUAAAAAUACCAAGUACAAACAUGCAAUUGAAGAUGAGCAAAGAAAUCAUAUAUAGUAUCUAUUGAUGGCAUCAACACAAACAAAAAAUGCCAAUGGGCAAUACCUUCGUCCCAAUGAAUGACCUUUGCCAGUUCAAAGCAGACUUGACUCAACCUUAUCUUGAUGUGGAAGGAUACAUUUCAUCACUGACUGAUCUGCCUUAAACUGCUUGAGAGACAUUUCUUUGUUGUAUGCUCUUAUCCACCUCUUGAUUUCCCAGACUAACUGUUUCAAUUUCACUCAAUUCAAGCUUAAGGUUAUCUUAGAAUGCGUGAAUCUGUAAUUGUUUCCUCAAAUGUAUCUUUUUACAAUAUUCAAAAUUAUGUUUCAUUAUUCUAUGGUUAGACUGGCUUUCAAGAUCUUGCUAAAGACUCUACAUGUAUGUCAUGUCACUAGAACUAGCGGAAAAAGAACUAAGCACAGAAUGACAUAAAAGGACAAACUGUAUUUCACUGAGUAAAGGAUGAAAGGGUUUAACAACAACCCAAACAACCUAAAAUCCGAGUUACAACCCUAAAAUAACCCGGAUAAUGAAAAUAACAACAGAACAUACAGACAAGACUCACGCAAAUAGAGGGAUAGAAGGGUUUGACUCAAUAAAAUAAAUAAAAUAUGGAUCACAACCCUAAAAUAACCUACAUAAUAGAAAAAACAUCAAAACAAACUACCAAGAUUCCUUCCUAGUGAGAAGAGAAUGACCUUUCCAUUGCUAAGCUUAACACUUAGCCACAAAUUUGCUCAUUAGAAUCACCAGGGCCUUCUCCAAUUUCAAAAUUAUUAACUUUAGUCAGCAAGUUCCCGAGAGGAUUCUCAUACUCCGUGUCACCGUGCAUCAUCCCCACAAAGUGUGCAUCAUCAUGUGCAUGUAAAGGAUUCUGCGCCAUAUUCUGGGUGUCACUGUCUUGGAUAACAAUUAUCCCUUCUUGAAUCAUUCUUUCUAUUUCCCUUUUCAAAGCACGAUAAUCUUCAAUGCUAUGCCCUUGGACAUUAGAAUGGUACAUGAACCGUACAGUAGGAUCAAAACCUUUUGCAUACGGGUCCGGGGCAUAGCCUAGGAGCGGCUCAAUCAGGCCAGAAUGUUUUAACUUUUCAAACAAGCUUGUGUAGGAUUCCCCGAUUGGCAUGAAACUAUCUCUUUGUCUUUGUUCCCCUCCAUGCCCCUAUUUUCUAGGGUUAUUGGGUGCUCGGAAAUAUUGUGAAGGCGAACAAGUAUUUUGCGAUGCUGGUGCUCGCCAUAAGGAGUGACCCAGUAGUUGAACAAAUGACUGGACAUUAUACGGAGGAUAAUACUGGCUAGGAUCAUAUGGAGCUCGGGGAUAGGUUUGAGGUUGGGGUUGGGGUCAAGGCUGAGUAUAUUGGUGAGGCGAACCCUUUGAGCGAUGUUGUAAUCCUGAGACAACCAUGGCAACAUCAUCUUUUUUCUUCUGACCCCAGCAAGCUUCAUGUGUCGUUCUGAAUUGCUUGUGUUGUGGCUUUUAAGGUAGAAUAGCUCAUGAUCUUGCUUGACUUCAACCCAUCUUCUACCAUUCCUGCCAUUUUUACCACAUCAUUAAAAGGCUUACCCACGACUGAGAUCAAAUGCUCAAAGUAAGUAGGCUCUUGAGCUUGAAGAAAGUACUCAAUCAUCUCGUCUUCUUUCAUCGGCGGAUUGACUCGGGCAACUUGUUCUCUCAAUCUGAACCAGUAUUCCCAAAAGCUUUCAUUAGGUUUAUUUUCUAUAUUGGUCAGGGAUAGGCGAUCCGGGACAAUGUCUAUAUUGUACUAAAAAUGUCGACAAAGGCCUAAGCCACAUCGUCCCAUGUAUACCACCUGUUAGUAUCUUGGCGGGUGUACCAUUCCAAGGUUGCCCCACUCAAACUCUGGCUGAAACUGGUUCAUCAACAACUCAUCCUUCCCACCAACGCCUCUCAUCUUACUACAAUAACCUCUCAAAUGGGCCACGGGAUCUCCAAGUCCGUCAUAACCUCUCGGCAUUUUGAACUCGGUGGGCAGUUGGACGUCAACAAGCACAAGUCCUUGUAAGCCACACUUACUUGGCUUCCUAUACCUUGCAUGUUCCUCAAAUAUUUCUCUAAGCUCUUCACCUUCCUGAAUAUCUCAUCUUGCUCCACAUUCUUAGAUGGUUUCUCGAUUUCAACAGGAGGCUAUAAGUGAGGGGUGUAACAAUAAGGAUCUGGGUCCUUGAGGGUUGGUUCUAGAGCAUAGUAUUGGGAAUCUGGAACUUUGAACGCUAGUGCACUAGAAGAUUGAUGGAUGGUAGAUUGUGGAGGGGCUACAAAGACAUGAGUGGAUGUUGGAGUAGGGUGUGAGGUUGUUUUGGCUGGUGGAGCACGGAAAGGUUGAGACGAGGUGCCAGGGUAGUUGUGGUAAGGGGUAAAGCCUGGUUCAUGUUGAGGGGAAAGAUCACCGGCAGUGGGAACCUGAGCUUGUGACAGUGGUGGGAUAAAGGCAGGGUUUUCAGUGUAGUUAGCGGGAAAUGAGCGUGGAGGAUACCCCCCGAUCCAAGCCUGAUACAUUUCCGCCAUCUGUUGUUUCAACCUUUGGACCUCCUCUUUCAAUUCAGAUUCCGACUCCACAAUCUCUCUCGAGGGGUCAACAACUCCUGUGCCCAAUUCUUUGCUAGUCAUGAUUGCCUUAUGCUUUGACUUGGUGUUGUAUGGAUGACUCGCUAGAAUACCAACAAACUAACCACUUGAACUGAACCUGGCUAUUUGGACAUCCAACAACCUUGUUAGUUUUGAGACGCUUAACAAAUAGAAAAUCGCACGUUGGGAUGCAAUGCACUUAAAUAGUUAAACGCUCCUACCAUGUGUUUAAACAAUUGCAUGUUUCAUCCCGGCAUUAACUAACCCCUUUUCACUUUGUACCUUUUUUCUUUCAUUUCUGCCUCCCUUAAAUCGCUCUUGAUUUUCUCAUUUUGUAUCUGUCGCUCUUUUAUUUUUGGCACUCUCUUUUCCUCAUUUUGUUUUUGUCACUCUUUUCUUUCUUUUUCACUUAAUUUUUCUUUUCCUUUCUUUUUUUAUUUUCACUCAAUUAAUUUUAUGGAUAUGAUUGAAUCAUAUGGGGAUUGCCUACGUAUCAUGACGCCGCAUGAUUCAGAUCAUUAUGUAGUUCAGGAAGAUUAGGAAUAAAUGAAAUAAACUAACUCUUUUUUUUGAAUUUUGAAUUUAUUUUUUUGUCUUUUGAAUUUUCGAAAUAGAGACUUAUAAAGAAGGAAGAAAAUAUUUUUUGGAAUUUGAUUUGCUUUUUUUUUUUGUUGAGAAUUUUGAAAAGAAAGACUUCUAAAGAAGAAAGAAAAAUAUUUUUUGGAUUUUUGAUUUUUUUUGUUUGAAUUAUUUGGGAAAGAGACUUCUAGAAAUAAAAGGUAGAAAAUAUUGUUUUGGAUUCUGAUUUGAUUUGUUUGUUUUUUCUCGAAUGAAAAACUUCUAAAAAAGAAAGAAAAAUACUUUGGGUUUAUGUUUUUUUAUAUUUCUAAGAAAAGACUUCUAAAGAAAGAAUUAAAGAAAAAUAUUUUUGGAUUUUUAAAAAUUAGGGCCUGAACCGAUGAGAUUUGCCUACGUAUUUCACAUCCGGUGAGAAUCAGACCUGCGUAGUUCGAAAAUUUUGACAUAACUGGGAGAACAUGAUAUUUACUCAUUUUGAAAUUUAUUUUUCAUCUUCUUUUUUGUUUUAUAAAACUUUCGGCAGGGUUUCAAGUCGUUUCCAAAUACCAGGGUUUUCAUAACCGGAUGAAUUUUCUCUCCUACCUCAGUCUUGGUUUUUUCUAUUGAUUUUCUUUCCUUAGUCAAUCAACAUGCAAGCUGAAACAGAUAAAUGCACAAAUAGCACGUAAGAUGCAUCAGGAUGGUCUUUUAUUUUAGGUACACCUGUCCUAGACGGACCCAACUCCUGUAUUGAGUCCCCAAAGUCAAAUGCACAUGAUGCAAACAAAUGUUCCUACUAGGGAUCCGACAUGGGGGUGUGUUCUAGACAUGGCUUAUCCAAACGGACAACUCAAGUCGAGCUGGGGGCAACGUAUCGGGAGCACGAAAGUAUACCCGGCCUAGUUGCUAAUCCAGCCUCGUUCUAUUUGGUAUGACCUCUAACAGAAAGUUGGGCCACGCGUACGUGUGCACCAUAUUUUUAGAAGACUUAGAAGGGAGGCUUAAGAAGACAUUUUAAUACAAUUCAAAUAAUAUCAAAGCGGUAAAUGAGCGGCAAUUAGCACAUUAGGCCCAGAAACAUAGUAAUAUCAAUAAACAAUAAAUCCAAGUAUAUAUCACAUUAACAAACUCGAAUUUUGAACCCUGAACUAGAGGUUCUGGGUUCUUGUCCCCAACAGAGUCGUCAGAGCUGUCACACCUCCUUUUUUCCGAGGGGAUAGGGAGUUUUUCCAAUUUAAGUGACACUAAUCGAAAUGAGAUUACUUUAUUCAAUUUCAGAGUCACCACUUGGGAUAAUUUAUGGUGUACCAAGUCAGCGGUUUAUUUCAAAUUCCAAAUCGAGGAAAUUUGACUCUGUUUAAAGACUGCAAAACUAGAAGACUAGGUAAGGAAUUCUGUUAACCUGGGAGAAGGUGUUAGGCAUUCCCAGGUUCCAUGGUUUUAGCAGGGUCACUUUUAAUCAUACAUGUCUUAGUUUAUUGUUUAAAUAUGUGUUUUAGAACUUAUAUGUAUUUUACCUUUUGCCGCUUCUAACUACCUGAUUAUUGGAUUAUGGAAUUAUGGAAUUAUCUUGAAAGAGAGUCACGCGUACGUGUACUCGUCUCAUUUGGCAUGUCAAGAAUCAUGGCACACGUACGUGUACACAAUUAAUCACGCUUUAUUAAUUAUUAAGAAUGUUUGACCAAAGUCGCGUGAACGUGUACUUUGAUUUAUUUUGGAAAUCAAUAAUUAUGUCUCGUGAACGUGUACACAAUCACGAAAAGAGAUUAGAAUGCGUAUAAAGCAUUUUACGAUGUUGAUCAAUUCACUGAAUCGUUGUUGGGAAACUUUGUUAGAAUCCACACAUUUGAAUUACCGCAAGAUGAAAUAGUCAUAAGCACUUAAAUAUCCCAGUUAUGGAUUUCAACAAAUUAAAAUCGAAGUCGAAAAUAAGGGACAUGUCCAUUAUGGCCUUAAAACUGCUGGGCAGUAUGCCGCAGGGCCUAUUUAAUUUGCGCGAGAGUAGCCACUGGAUUAUCCUUGCGGACCCAAACUUUCACAUAACAAAAGAAAAAUUUAGAAUUUAAACAGUUAAUUUUAAACCAUGGAAUUACUCUUUACAAUUAAUUUUUUUUUUUUUUCACUACUUAAAUUUCACAUUAUGUUUUUAGCAUUAUAUCAACUCAUCCUAGAUAUAUUUAGUUCAUAAGAAAUCAUUACAAUCAGAAUCUAAGUAAACAAAAUAAAUGCAAUACGGGCAAACCAAAUUUCGUUCAUAAGUUCAAACAAGUGAAAAUAGGGGAAUGUUCACAUACCUAAUGAGUAGAAAAACAAGCACUUAAUAAUCAAACAAGGUCUGACCAAGAAGAAUGUAGAAACUCAGCUAUGACUUGAACAUCAAACAAUGAAGCAGAUCAACAAAUAGCCUCUACAAAGUUGCAACGCAACAGCAACAAACAACCCCUUUAAAACUCAAUUUAACCUUGAAAGUCAGCUCAACCAUUUCGAUAUUUCCAGCACGUUUGAAAAGGCCAGCAAGAGCAGCACUGUCAACAUUGAAAGGCAAAAUACCAAUAAAGGGCUUAAUAUCUUCAGAAAAAUGGGGUUGUUCAGCAACUUCAACAUCGUUUUCCAAUUGGUCAAAGUCAGAGAGGGCAGCGCGAGUCGAGAGCCAAGAUUCAAAAGGGCUUGAUCAAAGUCGAAUGGCUAAUCGAAAAAGAUGAUAAAGAUAGAUUCAAAGAAUAGGAAGGGAGCGAAAAGAAGGAAAGUGUGGAAUUGGGUUUUUGAGAAGAAGGGGUUUGUAAGGUGACAGCUAGGGUUCUUCUAUGGGGGAAUCUCUACCGUUUUUGAGAGGAAGGGGGGAUGGGGGCUCCUCCGUUCUCUGAAGAAAGAGAUGGCAAGGCUGCCCUUUUUGUGUAUAGAAUUGUGAGGGUUUUUGGUGAAUGGGCUUGGGCUGGAGGAUGAUUUUUGGGGUUGAUAUGCAAAAAC
rnacentral:lncRNA from 1 species